CAGCCGCCGCGGGAAUACGGAGGGCGCGAGCGUUACCCGGAUUUACUGGGCGUAAAGGGCGUGUAGGCGGCCUGGGGCGUCCCAUGUGAAAGGCCACGGCUCAACCGUGGAGGAGCGUGGGAUACGCUCAGGCUAGAGGGUGGGAGAGGGUGGUGGAAUUCCCGGAGUAGCGGUGAAAUGCGCAGAUACCGGGAGGAACGCCGAUGGCGAAGGCAGCCACCUGGUCCACUUCUGACGCUGAGGCGCGAAAGCGUGGGGAGCAAACCGGAUUAGAUACCCGGGUAGUCCCUGUCUCUUAUAC
rnacentral:rRNA from 1 species